GACGAACGCUGGCGGCGUGCUUAACACAUGCAAGUCGAGCGAUGAAGUUCCUUCGGGAAUGGAUUAGCGGCGGACGGGUGAGUAACACGUGGGUAACCUGCCUCAUAGAGGGGAAUAGCCUUCCGAAAGGAAGAUUAAUACCGCAUAAGAUUGUCGUACCGCAUGGUAUAGCAAUUAAAGGAGCAAUCCGAUAUGAGAUGGACCCGCGUCGCAUUAGCUAGUUGGUGAGGUAACGGCUCACCAAGGCGACGAUGCGUAGCCGACCUGAGGGGGUGAUCGGCCACAUUGGGACUGAGACACGGCCCAGACUCCUACGGGAGGCAGCAGUGGGGAAUAUUGCACAAUGGGGGAAACCCUGAUGCAGCAACGCCGCGUGAGUGAUGAAGGUCUUCGGAUUGUAAAACUCUGUCUUCAGGGACGAUAAUGACGGUACCUGAGGAGGAAGCCACGGCUAACUACGUGCCAGCCGCCGCCGUAAAAC
rnacentral:rRNA from 1 species